rnacentral:rRNA from 1 species
UCCGUAAGAGGACCUGCGGAGGGAUCAUUG